UCAAAGAUUAAGCCAUGCAUGUCUAAGUAUAAGCAAUUUAUAUGUGUGAAACUGCGAAUGGCUCAUUAAAUCGGUUAUAAAGUAUUUGAUAGUGAAAAACUAUAUGGAUAGCCAUAGUAAUUCUAGAGCUAAUACAUGCGUAAAGGCCUAACUCGUUGAGGGAAAGGCGGUGUUUAUUAGAUUGAAAACCAGCAGCAGCGGUUUGUUUCCUUAGGGGAAGGAACUAGUUUGCAAAAUAUAAAUGGUGAGUCAUAAUAAAUGAGCGAAUCUUCGGUUGACGAAGAUGAAACAUUUCUAUUUCCGCUCUAUCAACUGUGGCGUUAAGGUAGUGGCUUAACGAAGUUUUGACGGAUAACGGAGAAUUAGGGUUCGAUUCUGGAGAGGGAGCCUGAGAAACGGCUACCACUUCUAAGGAAGGCAGCAGGCGCGAAAAUUACCCAAUCCCAAUCAUCUUGGGGAGGUAGUGACAAAAAAUAACAAUGUAGGGUUCAAUAGAAUUCUGCAAUUGUAAUGGACUGGAUGUAAACUAUCCAGUGAGUAACAAUUAGAGGGCAAGUCUGGUGCCAGCAGCCGCGGUAAUUCCAGCUCUAAUAGUGUAUACUAAAAUUGCUGCAGUUAAAAAGCUCGUAGUUGGAUUUUAGGCGGAGCUGUAUACCAAUUUGAUUGGGGGUAUUUAUUGAUCUGAGGGGGAGGCUAAUCCUUGUAUCUAAAGGUAGCCUUUAUUUAUCUUUCAGACAAGGUACUCUUUUUUUUUUUAAAUCAAUCAAUCAAGUAGGUUGUUUCGCCGAGUUUUUUUCGGGUUGGCUUUGUCCUCUUGGUUGAGUGGCAAAGUUGAUUCGGAGGAUUUACUUUGAAGAAAAUGUAGUGUUCAAAGCAGGCGUUUGCAGCUGAACACAUUAGCAUGGAAUAAUAAAAUAAGACAUCGACGAUUGAUUACCGCCUAGUUAAGGUUCGUCUCUUAAAAUUUUUUUUUUUUUUUUUUUUUUUCAAUUCUUUUUAUUUUUCUUUGAUUAAAAUAUUUUUUUUUUUUUAAUCUUUCAUAAGAUAAAAAAAAAGAUUUUUUUUUCAAAGAAAAAGAUAAGAAGUAAAUUUGAGAAAAAAAAUAAAAAAAUAAAAUGUUGGGAUUUAAGAAAGACUAGGUAAGGGAUUAAUCUACAAAUAAAAAUGUAUUCGUUUUUUUGGUUCAUGGAGUUGAUGUAAUGAUUAAUAGGAAUAGUCGGGGAUAUACGUAUUGCAUUGUCAGAGGUGAAAUUCUUGGAUUUUUGCAAGACGAACUAAUGCGAAAGCAUUUACCAAGGAUGUUUUCAUUAAUCAAGAACGAAAGUAAGGGGAUCGAAGACGAUCAGAAACCGUUGUAGUCCUUGCCAUAAACUAUACCGUCUAAGGAUCGGUGGUUUGUUAUAAAUUAAGACACCUCCGGCACUUUUAGAGAAAUCAUAAGUCUCUGGGUUCUGGGGGGAGUAUGGUCGCAAGGCUGAAACUUAAAGAAAUUGACGGAAGGGCACCACCAGGUGUGGAGCCUGCGGCUUAAUUUGACUCAACACGGGGAAACUUACCAGGUCCGGACGCGGGAAGGAUUGACAGAUUGAUAGCUCUUUCUUGGUUCCGUGGGUGGUGGUGCAUGGUCGUUCUUAGUUGGUGGAGUGAUUUGUCUGGUUAAUUCCGAUAACGAACGAGACCUCAACCUACUAAAUAGCCAGGUUUCAAGUUUAAGUGUUGGUGGGGAAACUCAUUGAUUCUGCUUGAGACUAGAAAAAUAAUUGGUUUCUUCUUAGGGGGACUACCGUAUUUUUUUUAAGCGGGGGAAGCAUGAGGCAAUAACAGGUCUGUGAUGCCCUUAGAUGUCCUGGACCGCACGCGUACUACAAUGAUGCAGUCAGCGAGUUUGUCCUGUCCCGAAAGGGGUUAGGUAAUCUUUUAAAACUGCAUCGUACUGGGGAUUGAUCUUUGUAAUUCUGGAUCAUGAACAAGGAAUACCUAGUAGGUACGAUUCAUCAGAUCGUGCCGAUUACGUCCCUGCCCUUUGUACACACCGCCCGUCGCUCCUACCGAUGAUUGUUCAGAUGAAAUGCUCGGAUUGUGCAGUUGUGGUUGUUUGCGCAGCUAUUUACUGUUCUGGAGAAGAGUAGUAAAUCUUAACAGUUAGA
rnacentral:rRNA from 1 species